GGUGCGAUCAUACCAGCACUA
rnacentral:rRNA from 1 species